GAGGCACCCCCUCCCUCGCCCACCCCCGGGACGGGCCCGGGAAAGUUUGCCCGGGAAAAAAAAAAAAAAAAUUGGGGGAAGUGGCGGCGGCGGGUCCCGGGGGAGGAGCUCGGGAGGCGCGCGGGGUCUGAGAGCAGCCCCCACCCGCUCCAACCCGCGCCCGCCUCCUCCCCCGAGGGCGCCGGCGCCCGCCCGCGGGCCCUGGCAUCCCCGGGGUGCGCGGGCCCAGGCCCGGGGUCUGAGCUGGGGGCUUUGGACGCGGCAUGUGGAAAGGAGUACGGCCCGGGAGUGGCAGCGGGGGAUAGCCAGGGGGCGAGGCCGGGUGGGGAAGAGGGGCAGGCGGGAGUAGCUAGUGCCCCGGGACAGGCUCGGCCGAGCCGGCGCCGCGCCCCUGCGUGCGCGCAAGGGGCGGAGGCGGAGGGGCGGCACCCCCUCCCAGGACUGGGCGGGGGUCCUAGACAGGCUCGGGGCCGGGAGUGGGGGCGCGGCGCCCCCGCGGGCGGGCUAGUGACACGAUCAUCUCCUUUUCCUUUAAGCUUGCCUGUUGCCGACGCCGCCGCUCCAGCCGCGCCGCGGGCAGAAGACUGGACCGCUGAGCCCCGGGCCGCGGCGGCGGCGGCGGCUGAGCGCCCCCACCGAUGCCGUGACCCUCCUGCCCGGGGGCGGGGACCCGGGCUUCACCGGCCGGGGCCGCUCCGGUGCGCCUCCUCCCACCCCUCUGCCCGCCUUCUCCCCACUCCCCGCCCCCCGGCCCCGAACCCCGCGCACCUCGUCUGGGGACGGGGCGGGGGGUGGGGGGGGCAGGGCUGCCGCUCCUCUCCGCCCCUCCUCCUCCGGCCUCUGGAGCGAUUUGUCAAACUUCCCAUUCCGCCGGCAGCGCGGUCCUCCUCCUCCUCCUCCUCCUCCUUCACCACCUCCUCCUCCUCUGCCUCCUCCUCCCCCCGCGCUCCUCCCUCCCCGCGCCUCCCUCGCCCGCCCUCCUUCUUCCCUCCGCACGUUCGGGGAUCGCGGCGGAGCGCUGAGCGGGGGGGACGCGGAGAGCCGGGGCGCAGCAGCAUCCUGCGGGCGGCCGCUCUCCGGGGGGGAGGCUGA
rnacentral:lncRNA from 1 species